UAAGAUGAGAGUUUGAUCCUGGCUCAGGACGAACGCUGGCGGCGUGCCUAAUACAUGCAAGUCGAACGAGUCCUCCCAAUUUGAUUUUAUGCUUGCAUAAAUGAUUUUUGGAUUCGGGACGAGUGGCGAACUGGUGAGUAACACGUGGGUAACCUGCCCUGAAGUAGGGGAUAACAUUUGGAAACAGAUGCUAAUACCGUAUAAUUAGUUGGAACCACAUGGUUCCAACUUGAAAGAUGGCUCUGCUAUCACUUUCCGACCUGAGAGGGUAAUCGGCCACAUUGGGACUGAGACACGGCCCAGACUCCUACGGGAGGCAGCAGUAGGGAAUCUUCCACAAUGGACGAAAGUCUGAUGGAGCAACGCCGCGUGAGUGAAGAAGGGUUUCGGCUCGUAAAACUCUGUUGUUAAAGAAGAAYAAGUGUAAGAGUAACUGUUUACGCUUUGACGGUAUUUAACCAGAAAGCCACGGCUAACUACGUGCCAGCAGCCGCGGUAAUACGUAGGUGGCAAGCGUUGUCCGGAUUUAUUGGGCGUAAAGCGAGCGCAGGUGGUUCUUUAAGUCUGUUGUGAAAGCCCUCAGCUCAACUGAGGAAGUGCAGCGGAAACUAAAGGACUUGAGUACAGAAGAGGAUAGUGGAACUCCAUGUGUAGCGGUGAAAUGCGUAGAUAUAUGGAAGAACACCAGUGGCGAAGGCGGCUAUCUGGUCUGUUACUGACACUGAGGCUCGAAAGCAUGGGUAGCGAACAGGAUUAGAUACCCUGGUAGUCCAYGCCGUAAACGAUGAAURCUAGGUGUUGGAGGGUUUCCGCCCUUCAGUGCCGCAGCUAACGCAUUAAGYAYUCCGCCUGGGGAGUACGACCGCAAGGUUGAAACUCAAAGGAAUUGACGGGGGCCCGCACAAGYGGUGGAGCAUGUGGUUUAAUUCGAWGCWACGCGAAGAACCUUACCAGGUCUUGACAUCYUCUGCCAACYYWAGAGAUWARGCGUUCCCUUCGGGGACAGARUGACAGGUGGUGCAUGGUUGUCGUCAGCUCGUGUCGUGAGAUGUUGGGUUAAGUCCCGCAACGAGCGCAACCCUUAUUAUUAGUUGCCAGCAUUAAGUUGGGCACUCUAGUGAGACUGCCGGUGAUAAACCGGAGGAAGGUGGGGAUGACGUCAAAUCAUCAUGCCCCUUAUGACCUGGGCUACACACGUGCUACAAUGGAUGGUACAACGAGUCGCGAAACCGCGAGGUCAAGCUAAUCUCUUAAAGCCAUUCUCAGUUCGGAUUGCAGGCUGCAACUCGCCUGCAUGAAGUUGGAAUCACUAGUAAUCGUGGAUCAGCAUGCCACGGUGAAUACGUUCCCGGGCCUUGUACACACCGCCCGUCACACCAUGAGAGUUUGUAACACCCAAAGACGAUGGAGUAACCUUCGGGAGCUAGUUGUCUAAGGUGGGACAGAUGAUUAGGGUGAAGUCGUAACAAGGUAGCCGUAGGAGAACCUGCGGCUGGAUCACCUCCUUUCUAAGGA
rnacentral:rRNA from 1 species